rnacentral:snRNA from 1 species
GUGCUCACUUGGGCAGCACAGAUACUAAAAUUGGAACAGUACUGAGAAGAUUACUAUGGUCCCUACACAAGGAUGAUGUGCAAAUUUGUGAAAUGUUCCAAAAAAAA